AACGAACGCUGGCGGCAGGCCUAAAACAUGCAAGUCGAACGAACCUUCGGGUUAGUGGCGCACGGGUGAGUAACACGUGGGAAUGUACCUCUGGGUGCGGAACAACGUCGGGAAACUGACGCUAAUACCGCAUAAUGUCUACGGACCAAAGAUUUAUUGCCCAGAGAUCAGCCCGCGUCUGAUUAGCUAGUUGGUGAGGUAACGGCUCACCAAGGCGACGAUCAGUAGCUGGUCUGAGAGGAUGAUCAGCCACACUGGAACUGAGACACGGUCCAGACUCCUACGGGAGGCAGCAGUUAGGAAUAUUGGACAAUGGGGGCAACCCUGAUCCAGCCAUGCCGCGUGUGUGAAGAAGGCCUUAGGGUUGUAAAGCACUUUCGGCUGUGAAGAUAAUGACAGUAGCAGAAGAAGAAGCUCCGGCUAAAUUCGUG
rnacentral:rRNA from 1 species